rnacentral:rRNA from 1 species
AUACAGAGAUGGCAACCGUUGUUCGGAAUUACUGGGCUUAAAGCGCACGCAGGCGGAGAAAUAAGUUGGGUGUGAAAUAUCAUGGCUUACCCAUGGUGCUGCAUUCAAAACUGUUUUCCUUGAGUCUGGAAGGGGAGAGUGGAAUUCCUAGUGGAGCGGUGAAAUGUGUUGAUAUUAGGAGGAACACCGGUGGCGAAAGCGACUCUCUGGUCCAGUACUGACGCUGAGGUGCGAAAGCUAGGGGAGCAAACGGGAUUAGAAACCCCAGUAGUCC